GUCCAGGAAAAGAAUAUAAGUUCAACUUUAAAAAUACCUAAAAAAUUGCUAAUUUUACUGUAUUUUUAAAAGCUAGUCUAAAAGGGUACAGCUUUUUAGAUUAAGGAUACAACCUUGCUUAGAGAGUAAAAACAAUCAAUACCAUAGUAGGCUUAAAAGCAGCCAUCAAUUAAGAAAGCGUUCAAGCUCAACAUUAGACAAACCUUAAUCCCAAUAGUUAAUAAGGAACUCCUAAUCCAAUACUGGACUAAUCUAUUAAUUUAUAGAAGCAAUAAUGUUAAUAUGAGUAACAAGAAAUAUUUUCUCCUUGCAUGAGCUUAUGUCAGCAACGAAUACUCUACUGACAGUUAACACCUAAUAAACUUAACCCACCAAUAAAUGAUUUAUUAAAUCUACUGUUAACCCAACACAGGAAUGCAUUAAGGAAAGAUUAAAAGAAGCAAAAGGAACUCGGCAAACACGAGCCCCGCCUGUUUACCAAAAACAUCACCUCUAGCAUUACUAGUAUUAGAGGCACUGCCUGCCCAGUGACAUUAGUUAAACGGCCGCGGUAUCCUGACCGUGCAAAGGUAGCAUAAUCAUUUGUUCUCUAAAUAGGGACUUGUAUGAAUGGCCACACGAGGGUUCUACUGUCUCUUGCUUCCAAUCAGUGAAAUUGACCUCCCCGUGCAGAGGCGGGGAUACACAAAUAAGACGAGAAGACCCUAUGGAGCUUUAAUUAACUAACUCAAAGAAAAUAUAAAUAACCGCCAAGGGAUAAUAAUCUUCUACCUGAGUUAGCAAUUUCGGUUGGGGUGACCUCGGAGAACAGAAAAACCUCCGAGUGACUAAAAUCUAGAUUUACCAAUCAAAAUGUAGUGUCACUUAUUGAUCCAAAAUAUUUGAUCAACGGAACAAGUUACCCUAGGGAUAACAGCGCAAUCCUAUUCAAGAGUCCAUAUCGACAAUAGGGUUUACGACCUCGAUGUUGGAUCAGGACACCCCAAUGGUGCAGCCGCUAUUAAAGGUUCGUUUGUUCAACGAUUAAAG
rnacentral:rRNA from 1 species